CUAGAAGCUGCUUUUGGUCCAAAUAGAUUCUCCCAGAAGCUGAAAGUGAGAAGCAACCAAGUGCUAGCUUUUGAAAGUUGCUUCUCUGGAAAACACGGAGUGAACAGUGCUUCUUUAAUGAAAUUUAUCAAAUUCCCGAUUUUGUCCUCAUCAUUUUCUAAAAUUUACACUGAACCCAGUCAUUUUUCUUCAUCUGUAUUCUGUGCGAGGCAAAACCUUCGCACUCUCCUCCUCCUCCUCCCCCUCCCCCUCCCCUCGCCGUCAAAUACUUGAGCAUGAUUCAUACUCAUCGGAAGAAAUCGAGAGAGGGCGCUGACAUUUUUUCCCUCUCAGUCUCUCUCUUCGACCGUCGAGGCUUCGACGACCCUCGCUCUCAUCGACGGUAACUCGGUGACGGACUGCAGUCGAAUAGUUGAUCGAUCUGUCUGGGUUUUUACUUUCUGGGUUUUCAAUCAAUCUCUCAAGUGUUCGAAUAGCCUCGAACUCUUGGUUGCUCUCUUCCUCAAGCAGCAAAGCAGAAAUUCUUGGUUGCUUUCCGGUUCGAUUUCUGAGUUAUGGAAUUGAUCAAGUUGUUUUGGACGUUAGUUACUGAUUGAAAUUGAAUUGUAUUGUAUAUUUAUAUUGCAUCUGUUUUGAAAUUUGGCAUCAGUUUUGCCAGUUUUGAUGGGAAUUGAAUUGCAUCUGUCUUGGUAUUUGGAUGGAAAUUGAAAUUGUAUCUGAUAUGAAAUUGUUUAGGUGGAGGUGGAAACAAAUUGGUGAUUUCCCAAAGGGGGUUCUGGAAAGCAUUGUGGGGAUUAAACUCAUUAAAGCAUCCAAGUAAAGUGAAAAUCUUUAUGUGGAGAGAAUGUUGCAACUGUUGCUAAAGAUUGUUGGCUUUUCAUGGAAGCAUAUUUAUGAUUGUAGAUUUGUAAUUGACAAUUACAAUAUUGUUAUUCAGAACGUUUUGAAUCACAGUUUGUUUUGUUUGUUUGUUUUGAUGCUUGUUUCAUAUUAUAGCAGAUUAAUUGGAAUUGCAAAGUUGUGGCAUUCCAAGCUUUGGGUUUUCUAAUGAUGGAUGAAUUAGUUUGGGAAGGACACUCUAAUUAAGGUUCUUGGUAAUCAUGCAGCUUUGGACCAGAAUUGUGAUUUUAGUUUGGUUUUGAUAUACAGGGGAUCACAGGAGCCACAAGCUCAGCCACGUCCCGAGGAUGCUCCAGCACAGCAGUCCUAUUAUCCUCACUCUGUUAACUCCCCGAGCUCUUCUCGUCCUUUAACUCCGAGUUGAACCUCUUCUUCUUCCAAUUUGAGUUCUAGGGGUAACUCCCCGUCACCUGUUUCUCCCACUGAAGCUGCUGGUGUUAUUGCUUCUUUGAAGGACAAAAGAUCCAGUAAUUCAAAAGAAAGAAUCCAUUGGGGAAGUUUUUUGUGUGGUGAUCGUUUGACCAACAACUUAUAUCAGUUGAAUUUCCGGCAGAACAAAAAUGAGGAGAGACUGUGCCAGAAGAAGCUUAGAGUUUCUGAAGUUUGGAAGUUCAGGGAUGCUAUCCUUAUUUUGUGUAAUAGAUAGUAAAACAUAAUAUGCAUAUUGAAGAGUUUAAAAUAAAUCUUUUAUUCGGUCCAA